rnacentral:sRNA from 1 species
UCCACCGGGAUUGGAGAUAAAGUUGGG